rnacentral:rRNA from 1 species
GGACUACAGGGGUAUCUAAUCCUGUUUGCUCCCUACGCUUUCGUACCUCAGCGUCAGUUAACCCUAGAGGGAUGUUUUCACUUUUGGCGUUCCUUCCAGAAUUGGUAAAUUCUACUUUUUCGCUGGAAGUUCCUCCGACAUGUGAUUAACUCAAAGUGCAAUAAUCUAAAAACCAAUUCUCAGAUUACGACCCUAGAAUUUCCGGUGAAAUUUUAGGCACCGCCUACGUACCCUUUACGCCCAGUAAGUAUGAAUAACGCCCGCACCAUCUGUAUUACCGCGGCUGCUGGCAC